GACGAACGCUGGCGGCGUGCUUAACACAUGCAAGUCGAACGGUAAGGCCCUUCGGGGUACACGAGUGGCGAACGGGUGAGUAACACGUGAGUAACCUGCCCUUGACUCUGGGAUAAUUGCUAGAAAUGGUAGCUAAUACCGGAUACGACCCUCGGUGGCAUCACCAGGGGGUGGAAAGAAUUUCGGUCAAGGAUGGACUCGCGGCCUAUCAGCUAGUUGGUGAGGUAACGGCUCACCAAGGCGACGACGGGUAGCCGGCCUGAGAGGGUGACCGGCCACACUGGGACUGAGACACGGCCCAGACUCCUACGGGAGGCAGCAGUGGGGAAUAUUGCACAAUGGGCGCAAGCCUGAUGCAGCAACGCCGCGUGAGGGAUGACGGCCUUCGGGUUGUAAACCUCUUUUAGUAGGGAAGAAGCGAAAGUGACGGUACCUGCAGAAAAAGCACCGGCUAACUACGUGCCAGCAGCCGCGGUAA
rnacentral:rRNA from 1 species